CCAAAAAUACUGCUUUAUUUGAAUACAUUUUUUAACAAUUUAAAAGCUGACAAUACUUCACUAAAACUUACAGCAAAAGAAUUAACAUUCAUUUAUCAUACAAUUUCUCAUAGUCAAAGUUUUGAUUCUAUGAAUUGCACAUCAAGUUUAAUUCAUAAAUUAUUUAAUAAAAAACAAUUUAUAGCUGCUCCUACAAAAUGUAGAGACAGCUGUGAACGUGCUGACUUUGAUAUUAAAAUUACUAAAAUAGACUUAGAAAAAGCUAAUUUUGUGUCUAUUCUUGUACGUUAUUUUUAUAUUAAGAGUUCAAAACAAAAUUUUGGAGUUUUCGAAUCUACUCGGAGAAACCACAGAAAUCAUUUACCCUCAUAUUAUUAAAGUUUUAAAUAAAAAUAGUUUGAGUAAUAAAAUAAUUAGUUUCCCGCAGAAAACAAACACAGAUUUUGGAGGCGUGUUGAGAAAAGGUAUUUAUGUAUUUCUAAAAUUAAAGCAAACAUUAAAUAGAAAUAUUUUAGGAAUGGGAUGUAUUGCAUUUAUAAUAUGUAUUCAAUAUCUGAUUGUUAACCUGUUGAUGUUGAUAGUAUUGUGUGCAAAAUGUUUGAUUU